UUAGCGGCGGACGGGUGAGUAAUGCUUAGGAAUCUGCCUAUUAGUGGGGGACAACAUUCCGAAAGGAAUGCUAAUACCGCAUACGUCCUACGGGAGAAAGCAGGGGAUCUUCGGACCUUGCGCUAAUAGAUGAGCCUAAGUCGGAUUAGCUAGUUGGUGGGGUAAAGGCCUACCAAGGCGACGAUCUGUAGCGGGUCUGAGAGGAUGAUCCGCCACACUGGGACUGAGACACGGCCCAGACUCCUACGGGAGGCAGCAGUGGGGAAUAUUGGACAAUGGGGGGAACCCUGAUCCAGCCAUGCCGCGUGUGUGAAGAAGGCCUUAUGGUUGUAAAGCACUUUAAGCGAGGAGGAGGCUACUGAGACUAAUACUCUUGGAUAGUGGACGUUACUCGCAGAAUAAGCACCGGCUAACUCUGUGCCAGCAGCCGCGGUAAUACAGAGGGUGCGAGCGUUAAUCGGAUUUACUGGGCGUAAAGCGUGCGUAGGCGGCUUUUUAAGUCGGAUGUGAAAUCCCCGAGCUUAACUUGGGAAUUGCAUUCGAUACUGGGAAGCUAGAGUAUGGGAGAGGAUGGUAGAAUUCCAGGUGUAGCGGUGAAAUGCGUAGAGAUCUGGAGGAAUACCGAUGGCGAAGGCAGCCAUCUGGCCUAAUACUGACGCUGAGGUACGAAAGCAUGGGGAGCAAACAGGAUUAGAUACCCUGGUAGUCCAUGCCGUAAACGAUGUCUACUAGCCGUUGGGGCCUUUGAGGCUUUAGUGGCGCAGCUAACGCGAUAAGUAGACCGCCUGGGGAGUACGGUCGCAA
rnacentral:rRNA from 1 species